rnacentral:lncRNA from 1 species
GUUUUCUUCUUUUCCAGAUGCAGAAAUGAUUUCUGGAGUGCGGGAUGGUGAACGAAAUCCAUUGUAAAUCCGUAAAGAAUUUUCAUAAAGACAAUCUAUCUAUUCUAUGUUGGAAACUAAUGGGGUAAAAUCGUUUCUGGUAGAUAUCGUCUUAGGAAGUGGCCACAUGAGAUGAAGACUUUUAAGUGCCAUAGUUAUGCACUAGAGUAUCUUCUAAUUUCCUACAAGGACUCAGAGGAACUGGAAGGUCUCCAGCACAGGCCUUGAUUUAAGACACACUGUACAAUGAGGGGACACUGUCCCUGUCAAGUACAGUGGAAACCAGAGUUUUGAGACUAGACUCUGCCAAUUUCCUCCUAGGUUCUUGCCUCACAGAUUUGAAGAAUAAAAUCCACAGACAAUGGUGGGAGGGAAGAUGGACAGAGCACUCCCAGGAUGCAGGAGCCGUGCAGCAGGAAGGCCCACUCUGCUGUGCCAGCCUAGGGGCUGACAGGGCCUUGGGUAUGAGCAGGCUUGACGUUUUCGCUGAACAGGCAGCAGGGAAGUUCCGAGGCUGCUGGCUGUGUCUUCAGCCUGGGUCCUGAUCCCUCCUGUGAAGCCCAUCUGGCUUCACCCCCACCUUCUGUUCUGACUCUCGGGGAAGAAGGAGCUGGAUGCUCCUAUGGGUGAUCCUCAUGGUCUUUUCCAUUUGAAAAAGACUUUGCUGUUGCCUAUUGAUACUUCUUUUGCCUCCUGGCUGGUCUCUGCCUUUGAACAAGGCCUUCCCUGGGGCCCGCUGCCUGACCACUGUGUGCUCUGAUUCACAUCUGCAUCACUGAUGGGGAACACCUCCUGAAUGACGUGUCUUAGUGUUUCAUCGCUGUACGAACAUCCUACAUCGGACGGACAUCUACAAAACCUGUGAUGAGGCCUGCUGCAGACCUAGGUGACACAGCACAGCCAUUGCCCCCGGUCGGCAAAGCUGAAUAGCAGGUGCUCAGUGCUGCAGGCAGCUGUAACACAGUGGUGAGUCCACGUGUGUCCAACCUUGUCUAAACCAGGAGGUCCAGCAAGAACACUAGGCAACAGGAAUCUCCCAUCCUCCUUACAAGCUUAGGUGCCACUCACACGUGUGUGGUCCCUUGCCAACCAGAAAGCUGCUGUCCAGGGCAUGACUGUAUUGUCUGAUCACGCCACCCCAGGUAAUAUAUUGCAUUAUGUCCUGGUGGUGGUUAGGCAUGUUGACAGAAAAAGCCAGAGUAAAAACUUAUCAGUACCUUGCAUUGUGUUGAUUUUGAACUCCAAAAGUUCCUAGCUACUGAAGAUCAUUGAUACAAGGGAACCGAAGUAAAUCCUCUCAAAUUAGGGAGCGACAUUCCUUUCUUAUCGAAUCUAAAACAAACAUGCAAAUCAACAGGAAAAAACCCUGGCUCGUCUUAUGGUAAUUAAAAUCUACUUUCAAUAAAUUAAAAGGAAAACAUACUUAGGAGAUAUUUGUGAUACAUACUUACCCCAAAAGGGAGUAUCAGGAAUAUGAAAAGAACCUUGCAAAUCAAUAAGAAAAAAAGAUAGGAAGACGUAAGUAAAGAAAAAGGGAGAAUGGUCCAAAGACCAAUGAACUGGUAUUUCUCAGAAGAAGAAGCGUAAAAAGCCAGUCAGUUUAUGAAUUCUUGCUCGGGAUCAUUCGGGUUUGGGAAAGUCAGACAAGACCUCCGUGAGCUUGCCUUUCGCAUCUAUUUAGCUGGAGAAAACCUACCUCAGGUGUAACCAAAUUUAGUCUACAACUGUAACCCUGUACUAAUUCUUGGCACAUAGUAGUCAGAUUCAAACGUCGAUUGUGUGAGUGUGAUUUUCCUAUUCCACUCUCUCCCUUCCUCUUUUACCCAAUCAUAAUAUAAUACUAUCCACUGUCAUAAAAAUGAUCAAUUUUGACAAAAAUUUAAUGUUUAAGGACAUCAAAUUCUAAUACUCAAGUAAUUCUUUUUUUAAAAAAAUAUUUUUAAUUGUCAAUGGACCUUGAUUUCACUUAUUUAUAUGUGGUGCUGAGGAUGGAAUCCAGAGACUCACGUGUGCCAGGCAAGUGCUCUACCACUGAGCCACAGCGCCAGCCUAAGUAAUCCUGUUUUGAAACCCUGGUUAGCAUAUCCCCGCAGACUUCCGCUCCGCAUGAUGAGUUAAUUGAGCAGACGAACCAGAUCCUCCUCUGCAAAGCCUGUACGUGGCUUGAGUGCCAGUCCCUCUGCUGGGAUUCCUGCAGCCUUAGGAAGAUCCCUGGCCUCACUUUGCUUUAAGAUGACACAGCAUUGUAUGGCAUCGUUAGCUUCCCAGUGAGUCUGCUUCUGUCUCUCUAGCAAGUAAGUGUUCCUUUUUGGUAAUGGCACUCUAAUUUUCAAGGAGAGAGCCACUAGCCUCCAACUCUCAGCUCAUACAGUUUGAGGCUACUCCCACCUCCAACUCAAGGGGUGGGCAUGGGUCCCCGGCCUGCCAAUCAGGGCAGUGGCUAUGGUGAUAAAAUAAAUCCUUGGGUACCAAAGACCCUUGAUUUUUUGAAAAAUUGGAUGCAUCCCUAACUGGAAUGGACAUUAGCAUUAGCAGUCUCCUAGACUGCUAGAACAAAUUGCUUUAAGCAAUGGCUUAACACAGCAGAUAUUUUCUUGCAUUUCUGGAGGUUAGAAAUCCUACAUGAGUCUCACUGGCUGAAUUCAAGGGGCUGGCAAGGCUCUGGGGAGAAUCCACUCCCUGCAUUUUCCAGCUUCCUUGGCUUAUGGCCCCCCUUCUCCACCUUCAAAACCAGCACGGAUGGGCCAGAUCCUCACAUUCUAGCAACCUGGCCUCCUCUUCUGUCAACCUCUUCCAUGUUUUGGGGACUUUUAUGAUAAUAAGAGAACCCCCUCCCCCAACAGAUAAUUCAGGACAAGAUUUCCAUUUUAAUAGAUUAUCAAUGUUAAUUCCAUUUUCCCUGUAAAAUCACACAUUCCCAGAUUUGGGGGGAUUAAGAUGGGGGUGUCUUUAGGGGAGAUGUCAUUUUCUGCUUAUGACAGCAGUUUUUAAUUAUCUACCUUGAUAAAUAUAGUACUUUAAAGCCAUAUUGCUUUAAUAGUGUGCUAAUUGAGAAACCUUCUGCAUCUGAGGUGGUGACAUUUAUCAUGGAAUUUGUCCAUCUGCAAUGAGCAGUCAUUGACUGUUUGCCCCUUGCCCCCCUUAUUCUUUGAGCUCCCAUAAUUUGGAAUGAAUUAUGAGGGAACAUACUUUACCAGCAUAGACAACUGACCCUGGUCUUGGGCUUCUCAUGUCACUUAUGAUAAAUCCAUUAAUUGGAAUUAAGGCUUACACUAAACCUUCCACCAUGCUGUUGAUCCACAUUGGUUCUCUCGAGCCUGCUAACUCCCUUUUGGUAUCAGCAGCCUGAUUUUCUUAGGGAACCACCUUUUCUCCAACUUCCAGUUCAUGCUGUUUAACUGAGCCUGCUACCACCGCCAACUCCAAGGGUGGGCAAUGGGUCCUCAGCCUGGCCAAUCAGAGCACUUGUAUUUCCUUGACCACAGUGAUUGGUUUAGGGGUGGUCAGGUGACUGAAACCAGGCCAAUGAAACUGCAUCCUGUGGGUCUAGAUGCAGCUGUUGGAAGAGGAGCUCUCUUUUUCUCCUGGGGUUGCUGAGUGGCUGAAUGUGAGCUUGGACCUUCUGGUGGUCACCUUUGCUGCCACUUGUGGAAAAGCAGAUCUGAGCACAGAGACAACACAGAAAGAGCACUGUGAUGUCAUAGAAGGGGAUAGUUUUUUUUCUUGACAACUUUUUUUGAGAAUUUUUUUUUUAAAGAAAAAAUUUGAGAGGCAUUUAUUUUUGAAGUCUUGUGGAAGCCGUGUGGGUUGGAUGCCUUUCACUUGUGCUCAAAGGAGGCCAGUGAACUAAUUGAGGACAGAGCUGAGCUCAGAGCCUAUACUUCUUGGGCUGAGUUCAUCUGUUCUUCACUACACACAGGCUCUUCCCUGAUUUAAUGUCUGUCUGUUUCCUGAUUUGUGGUCUAGUGAGAGGUGCUGUUGUCACAUGUGUCAGAAAUCACCACCUAUGGUGGGGGGGCCUGGGUUGUGGCUCUGGGUAGAGUGCUUGCCUAGCAUGUGUGAGGCACUGGGUUCAAUUCUCAGCAUUAAAUAUGCACACACACACAUAUAAAAUUAAGGCCCAUCGGCAACUAAAAAAAUAUUGGAAAAAAUAAAGAAAAAGAAAUCUCCACCUAUGCUGAGAGAUCUCCGUCCACAUCAGCCAAGUAUUUAUUUGGGCAAACAUUCUUUGCACAGAUCCAAUCUUGCUCACUUUUGUCAGACUUGCAUAAUACUUUCAAAAUGAAAUUUUACAGCAGAAGGUGUUUGGGAAUCAGAGGUGGCAUGGGAAGUGUGGGCCUUUGUAGGAUAUUAGAAGAAUUACUAUGUGGGUCUCACUUAGUGACUGAUACGCAGCUAGUCAGAAGCCAGGAAACAUGGCUAGGCUGUCUCUUUUUUCUUUUUUGCCAUAUUCUGUGUCAUCGAAUAUGACCAAAAAUAUACAACAAUGGUAGUAUGGUAGUUGUAGAUUUGGGCAGGAAUAUAAGAAAUCUAAUUUUCUUAAGAAAGUUAACUUAAUGUUCUUAAGUGACACUUAUUGUGGACUUCUAGCAUGCAAAGUGAUGCAGAGAAAAGUGGGUGAAAUUAGAACAUAUGUAACAGUCAGGUUAGGCUAGAUUUCACUGCAGUAACAAAUAAUCCCUAAAUCUUGGAAGCUUUUGAUCACAAAGAUUUGCUACCCACUCAUUCCCCAUGUUCACUGCAGGUGAGCAAUGGAUUGGUACCCAGGCUGAUAGAGUAGCAAGUAUCUUCAGUGUGGUCAGUCAGCAUCCUAGACAGGAUAUGAGCAGUUGAAUGGUAGGUAUCACUUUUAUUCAUAACUCAGGAGCCAGAGCUAGGCCACACCCAACCAUGAGGUGGGGGAACCAGAAAGUACAAAGUCAGGAAAUAUUUGGUAAGCAGCAUUCAUGAGAUCCAGGGCAGGUAAGUUAGAACUUUGACAGAGAGUGGAAAAAAAUGUCAAGGGGGAAUAAAAAGAGCACCAAUCCUAUGGAGGUGGGAAGAGAGGUGGGGAGAGAAAGAACAGGCUCCACUGUCCUCUGAAUGUGUCGCUCCAUAUGCUGUAACAGAGCCACCAUUUGUUGGCAUGUGUACUAUGUACCAGGUGAGCUCCUGUGCUGAGCUCUGGGAUCAGUUAUUUAGGAGGUUAAUUACAGAAAUGCCUUCUGAUCAACAAGCAAAGGUGGUGAUGGCGGAAGGUUAAAGGGGAACUCACAGAACUAGAAGGAAAGCAGAGGAACCUGUCUUCCAGUGGAAAUCAUAUCAGUUAAGGCUCUCAGUAGCAGGACCAAACCACACCUCUAGCCCUGUCUCCUGUCUUGAUGCCACACAGUUGCAGAUUUGCUGCAAAGAGGCUACAGCAAGGCUUGGGUUUGGGUGCACCACUGGCAAGAGGAGCCAGGGUUCCUCACUAAGACCGAAUGUCUGUGGCACUGACUCCUCAGUCAGUGGUGCUUCUAGGAGAAUGGUGGUGAAUGACGAUUGCUCAGGCAAAGAUGCUUGUAACAGCACUUUAACCCAGAUGGACUCACAACAGCACUUUAAACCCAAAGCCAUUCUCAAGAGGGGUUCUCACGUGGGCAUCUCUACCUCCACAUUCUCCAGCUGAGCCUCAGAAUCUAAGGAACAUCCCACCUUCGCCCUGCUGGUCUCAGUCUGUGCAGGCUGCUAUAACAAAACACCUUUGAUAAAUGAGGUAUCUUAUAAGAAACAGACAUUUAUCUUUCAUGGUUCUGGAGUCUGGGAAGUCUAAGAUUAAGGUGCUGGUGGAUUCAGUGAAAAGUGAGGGCCCAUAGAUGCUCCUUCUAGUUGUGUCCUCACUUUCUGGAAGGGGCAAGCCAGCUCUGUGGAGUCUCAUUUAUCAGGGCUCUCAGCCUAGUCCCAAGGGCUCUUUUCUCAUGACCUAGUCACCUCCCCAAAGCCCCCACUUCCUUACCUAAUCCUCAAGGUGAUGGCAUGAGUUGGUGAGUCAGAAGCUGACUGUGGGACUUGAGAGACAGUACUUUGGUCAUUGUUAUCUGCUGUCUCAUGCAAAUAUGGUGGCCUUCUUAUUGCCAGUUUUAUUGGCAUUAAAAUGAGAAGAGGGCUGGGGAUAUAGCUCAGUGGGUAGACAGCUUGCCCCACAUGCACAAGGCCCUGGGUUCAAUCCCCAAUACCAUUAAAAGAAAAAAAAGAGGAGAAGGAAUUUGAAGUUGCUAAUCACUAAUCACAUGUGCACUGUGUUGGGAGAGCACUUUCUAGUCACGUGUGUGACCCCCUUGGUCUCUCACUCAUCCCAGUUGCCAGAUGAAGACAUGACUGGGAGCUGGUAGAGGUGGGCCCAGGUAGAGGUGGGCCCAGGGUACCCGCGGUCCUAUUUUCUGUAGUGACGUUGGAGGUGACGACCUGGCUGGGGCUGCCCUGUCAGGUGUGGGACUCAGGCUGCUGCUCUGAAGUGUGGGGUUGGCAGACUAUGGUCAGCGUGGAGCUGGAGGGAGGGAUAGCGGAUGGAAAUGACCAGGUGCAUGGGACGUACGGGGACUCUGCUGCAGAGCGGGCUUUGCUAGCCUCCCCUGGUGGCUCUGAGAGCUCUCUCUUCUUGUGUCGGAGCUGUAGGUGAUGCAGGUGUCUAGGGCUUGUGGUGUUCAUAGAACUGGGGAAGCACGACCUCAAGAAAGCAAGCCCAGCUUCCUGCCAGUCCCGACAGAGAGGGCCUUACCAAAACUUCACCUGUGAAACGGAAAUCUGAAAACCCACUGGGCAUGUAUGUGGAGAUGAGUUAAAAGACUGGAAGGGCCCUGGGCACUGAAGCUUCCCUGGGCUUGCCCUCUGCUUUCUGCUGGACGUGGCCAGCUGCCCCUAAUUCUCCAAAGCUUGGAGGCAUGGCAUGGCCUGGUGGUUGGGGUUGACCAGAUGUCUCUGGUGUCUCAUGGUGGGGCUCAAACCCCAGUUCCACCACCCGGGCUCUGUGACUCUGCGUGAGUUAUUAUUUACUUCUCUGAGGCUGAUGAUUCCCCACCAGUCAAACUAAGUGAGCAUCAAAACUGUGCUCGGCGCAUAGGAGAUGUUCAGAGAAGACAGUGAAUAAAGGUACCCAGCCAUGGAGCAGAGGAGCCAGCUGCAGGCCGGGAGCAGAGCCCAGGUUCUGCAUGAAGCUCCCUGCCGCCUGCGCCUCUCGGAGGUGCUGCCUGGCAGAAGGCAGAGCGGGUGGCUCACUCCACCUCCAGUGGACUGCUGACCUUCAGCGAGGAGAAAGCAGGAUCCAUAGUUCCGAGCUUUACCUGGAACUCGCCUGGCCUUGCGUGGUCCCCUCUGCCGCACCCGCAGGGCGCUCCGUGGGCUUUGGAGCAGCGCUGGAGGGAGCAGUGUUCUGUAUCACGCAUGCGCACUUACGGGGAAUCCUCCCAGGAUCUCCUCCUGCUGGGUCCUGGUGCAAACUGACUGGAGUCCCAAGAUGCACGAUCUCACGUGACAGGAGUCCAGAGGAGGCGUGGCCUUGCCUGUGUGGUGCGGGGGUCCUGUCUGACCUCUGGGCUCUCUGGGUUUAUCCUGCACGAUGUGUAGACUCCAUGCCAGGCCGCCUCCCUCCACUGUGACAUGCGGCAGCCCGCAGCCAACAGGCAUGUCAGCACGUGACCAGUGACAGAGGAGCCGACUCCUCAUGCCCGUCGGGCCAGCUCGGGCUACUCACCCACCAGAGAUCUAGGGACGGUUGCUGGGCAACGCUAAGUGCUGAUUGGCUCAAGUCCUGGGCCAAUCACUGAGCGUCUCUUAGGCCAGUCACACCUGCUGCGUGGUGGGGUGAGUGCAGGGUCUGGGGGACUGGCUUCCUAGGGGACGGAGAGCCGAGGCCUGGGUGCUGGGUGCCUAGACAGCAGUGCCCUCUGUGGCCUGUGAGGAUGGGCAAGGGCAGGGCGGCACGGUGAGAAAAUGCCAUAGUAACCUAUAGGAUCCGAGAAAAAAGAGAUCUUAAAAUAUCAACUCUAGUUAAACUCUGAAAACUCUCAUAACCAUUGUGAGGUCAUCAGAGUUCAAGAACAAAGUGCCUCAGCAGGUUCCACAGCAGGAGCCACAGCAGGCGCCACAGCAGGAGCCGUAACUUGGUGCUUUCCCCACAUCAUGUAAUUUGGUCAUUUGGUCCUCCCUGUCGAGGUUGGAGUCCUUGUCCCUGCUUAUAGAUAAGCAGGCUCUGGCUGGUGGGGUGACUGGCUCAAGGUGGCAUAGCCAAGAAACAGAGGUUACACUUGUGUUUUGGGUGGGAAAAGCCCCAGGGCCCCAGCCUGAGGACUCAGGAAGCCACUGUCUCCUGUGGAUGAGCCCCAGGUGGAGCCUCGCCAAGAGUGUUCCCCACCUCACUGUUGGCAGUGGGGGCUCAGUUUUAGUUUGAUGACCUUUAGCAGAGAACUCCCAGCGUGGACCCGCACGUGUGCACGCAGCACCUGGGAAGGUGAGAGGAAUUAGUUGGAUGGUUGAGUUCCUCAGGCUUAUUAGGCCUGAUAUUUCCAAAUAUAGCCAUGUGUGGAGUAACCACAGGGUGUGUUCUGAGAAAUGUGCCCACGGGCUGUUUCAUGGAGUGUAUUUACACAAACCUAGUGGCACAGGUUGGUCACCUGACAGGACCUCAUUGCCAAUGCCAUCAAGGGACUUGAUCCAUAGAUGUGAGAUGCCUGAGGCUGCUGCUGGCCUGUACAAGUCACAGUUUGAUGGCUUUUUCUUCUCUUUUAAAAGCAGAAUCACACUCCAAAAUAAUGAAACAAAGUAUAGUCCAGUGACCCCACAGCUGUUUACUGUAUCAUUGUCAAGUUCAUGUGCUGGGCCUAAUUGUAUGUGCUGAGCUUCCUGCACAAGCACACAAGGAGUGUGCUGGGCUGUGAUGUCACCAGGCCCCAGGAAUCUCAGCUCCAUCACCACCAUAUGGGACCCCUCCUCUCUGGUCUGGCGUUGCUGACUUGUCCCUCGGCAUGGAAUGGCUGUUACUGCCUCUGCUCCUUACCGAAGAGUUGGAACCAGGCCACCCCUGAUCCCUGCUGAGGCGUGACUGGAUUGUCCCCCUGCCAGAUGACAGCAGGAGGCUGGUGACUGGGGACUCUGCAGGCUGACAGGAAGUUAGGAGAGAGCCAAGCAUCUGGGAGGAGUGAAGGCCAGAGUGAGUGUAUGGGGGGAUUGGAAGACGGGAACUUUCCCAGGGGCGGGAUUCCCAAGUUUCAGGCAUUCAUAUAGAAUUGCUUACAAUUCGUGCCAUAUGGAUGUCUUCCUUGUACUAAUAUUUGAUAUGUUUCUUUAAAUUUACUAUCAGGGAAAUAAGUUAUUGCACCUCAUUUCACUUCCAUAAGAGAAAAAAAAAUCAUUUACUGUAGAAAGAAUAAAUAAAACCAAUAAAAAAGUAAAAGUAGACCACCUAAGAUAUUCCCAUUUGCUCUGCCUAUCAGAACUUCUUUUAGACUUUCCUGUGCCUGCAGAUUUCCUGAGAGUCUUAUUAAAAUACAGAUUCUAAUUCAGUCCUGUUUGGGAUGGAAUAUAAAAAUUUUCACUUUCAAGCAACAAAUGGGUCCUUGAAAUUCAGCAGACAGAGUUCUGUGCUGGGGGACCCUGAGACCUGCUCAUUACACCCCUGUGUCCUUGUCCCCUCCUGUAUUCCCACCUGCUUGUCAUUGGUGCUCUUUUUAUUCCUCCAUCAACGACAAGGCCAGAACUUAUCUACCAUGGGUCUUCUGAGUGCUGCUCCCCAAAUGCUUCCAGGCCCCUGCCAGCUUCUUCAAACACUUGGUAGUAUCAUACUUUGUGAUCCCCUUAGAACUGUGGAGUGAAGGUGACAAGCGUCAUUUAAAUGCACUCGUCCUAUCUGAAUUGCUGACUGACCACCUUGGAGAUGGUGGCUGCUCUGUCGGUCUGGAUAUCCAUCCCUUUCCCACUAACUAUAGGCAUGUGAUGUGAGCAAGAAACAAAACUUUAUUGUUAAAAGCCACAUGGAUUGUUUGUUACUGCAGCAAAACCUAAUAUGAGCUGAUUGACACACCUUACUUUUGCCACUUUUCCUUGAAGCACUUUAUGUUGGAAGCUUGUAAAAAGCAUUUGCCAAAUUGUUUAUUUUUUUUCUCUCCAAAUCUUUAAUCACUGUGCUGGCACUCUUGUACCAUAUUUGGCCAUGUUCAAUGACACGAACUGGAAGAGGAAGACAGCCCAGUGUGGCUCCUUGCUUCUUACUGAGCCGUCCUCUGACCAUGAGGAUGUACAACAUGCUGCAGGAGGCAUUGCAGUGGUGUUGAGGAAGAUGGGGUUCUUGGGUGUAGACGGAUGCCCAUCAUUCCAGUGGGGACUCGUUCAGUCCACCUGUGUGGCGCUCACUUUCUGUGCUGGUGCUGGGCUAGUUUUAGGAGCUCCAAGUGUCCUCCAGGAGCCCCGUCUGGUGGGGAAAACGUGGGUGGAAAAGUUAGCAGCCUUAGCUCAGCACUGCUGAGGUCAUGAGCCAGAGUGCCCGGGUGCAGGUUGGCUGCUCACCACCGCUUGCGGGUCACUGGGGUUUUUGUGUUCCCUCCAAACUCAUGUGGAAAUUUAGUUGCACUGUGAUGGUAUUGAGAGGUGCUGGUGUCAUUAUCACAGGAGUCGUUGGUAUUGCAGGAGUGAAUCCUGACAGGACGGUCCCUGGGCCCAUGCUCUUCGCCUCCCACGCGGACUUGCCCUUACCUUCCUGUGGAGGAUUACCUGGCAUGGAAGCCAACACCACACUCACGGACUCCUCGACCUCCAGGAUUCUGAGAAACAAACCUCUUCAUAAGAAAUCACCCCCGCUGUGGCAUUCUGGGAUGUCAUCAGGACAUGAGCUAGGGCAGGUGACACUGGGUCAAGUGCAUAAGAGAGAAGGCCUUUGUGGGCCAAAGCCAGCUUGAGAGUCAUGCCGUGGGCACUGGGUGUGUUGGUGGGAGAACUCUGGGUUGCCAGCUCCUCAGGUGCGUUGGACGGCAAGGCCUGGAACCAGGUGUGGGCAGAUUUGAGGGUGCUCGACAGGUGUCCCCGUGGCACUGCUGAGAGACGGCAGAGAGGCACAUUUUCAUCAAAUAUGUAGAUAGAUCAGGAACCUGAUCUAAUAUGACGUCGGAAGCAAUGGCAGGGACAGAAGCGAGGCUUUCUCCAGGGGGAGAUCAGCAGCCCCAGGAGCCAGGUGGCCACCAGGCUGGGGCUUGAGGGCAGCAAGGCAGAGGUGGGGCAAAGCCAUGGUUCAGGAGGUUGGGUGUGGCACCUGGGGUCACUGCAGAAUGGCAGACCCCAGGAGGGAAGGCCUUGUGCUGUAGGGGAGGCGUGGCUGAUUUUGUCAGACCAGGGACACCACUUACGGUAAAUCCGUUUGCUCAAAGAAAUCACACCCUCCUGUCACCGCACACAGUGAACAAGAAGUCCUUUGAAGCAGGUGGAGGUAACACUCUUCCAUACCAUAAAUGCCAGUAAACAUGGGAAGGCGUGCUCGGUAGUGACAGAAAUGGUAGGUAGCAUGUCCUGCGGUGGCAAGAUUGAAUUCUUGAAUUUGUGCAGGACCUGCUGAGGCCUGGGCUGUGUUCCUUCCUACUGGACUCAAACCCGGGUGCAUGCAGACUGACAUCAUCGCAGCCAUCUUGCCACCAUGAGGGGGCCACUUGUCUGUGAAUGGAAUCGUGCCACAGUGAGGAGAGCCGAGACCAGCCUGAGAACACCCCUGGAGCCCCUGAGUCAAGCUGUACCUGCGGCUGGUGCCUUCCCGGACUUUUCAGUUACAAGUCUGAGUCGGAUUUCCUGUUGUUGAUGAGAGUUCUAACCAACGGACGUCAGCUGAUGGAGAAGAAAGCUCACGGUGGCCGUCACACCCAGGGUCUGGCCCACACUGCCCUAUGUGCACACCUCACCAAACCCUCCCAAAGCCUGUGAGGCAGGGCACUCCUCCUCCCAUUUGUAGACAAGGAGACUAGGGUGUACACAGUUCACCAGACUUGCUGAGGGUCAUGCAGCCAGGAGUGAGCCCGGCAGCUGGCCCCAAGCCGGUGCCCAGAGCCAUGGCCUCUGCAGCAUCUUUAGUACAGGGCGUGCUGUGUGGUGCUUCCCCUGCAGCAGGACAAGUCUGGCUCUGCACAGCAAGUGGGACCCUGGACAUUCCCUGUAGGAGGAAAACCACAGGAUGUUUUCCUACAGUUAGAAGGAGGUGAUUUCCCACCAUGCAGUGUAAUGAUGUGGGAUUAAUUUAAUUGCCAAAAUUAAAUGUUGGUUGCUGGGAAGGAGUAAAUGGUUCUCCAUCACUAGGGGAUUUUGCCGACUUGCCCUGAAGUUGGAGGAACAAGACACCUGUUUGUUGGCAUUCACGUCCUGCGUGCAGCUUCGUGUAGUAUAUGCUGACCGGGCUUCCCUAUCUGUGCUGUCUGGGAAGGGACCAGGCUUCCCUUGGAAAGCCACCUUGUCAGGUAGGAGCUGGAGUGCUGAGAGGAGACAGAGGGGCAGAGGGGUCUGCUGGAAAGAGCAGAGAGGCAGGCCUGGGGAAGGGGAGCCCUGGAGGGCAGGGGACUGCCGGGGGUGGCCAGGAAGGAGAAGGGCCUCGCACACGUGGUUAAACUAUUGCUCACUUCUAUUAUGUCCUGAAAAGUGGCGGUGACCAGAGCUGCCUGGAUCAGGAAAAAAGGGUGUAAUUCCAUCUCGGGGCUUCUGGUGAGCGGAGCUUGUGGUUCUGUGGUCAUGAUGUCACCAGAACCCCUGGUGGAAUCACAGCUUUAAAUUUACAACUUGGUAAGUGGGGAGGCCGGGGGUCCCUCAUGCCCAGACGUGGAGGUGCCCCAGGGUCGAGGUUGGGCUGAGAAGUCACUUCUGGAGGCUGACCCCUUUCCCCUCUGCAGGCCAGGAACCUUGGUGAAGCCACUUUUCUCAUCUGACCUGCUCCCUCUUCCCAUCUCCCCCCUCCCUCCUCAUCCCCAUGAUUUAUUUUAUAAAAAGCCCAAGUUAACCAGAUCCCUCUGGUCUUCCUGCUCAUUUAGCUCACAGUUCAAGCCUUUCCAUCUCAAAAUGCACCCAAGAAACGCUCAGACGAGAGAGAGAUGACUUUGGAAGGGAGACCCUCCCGUGAGCUGGGUGGCUCCCUCCGUCUUCUGUUCUGUCCCCACCUUCCCCUUCUACUCCUGCCAAGGUGAGGGAGUGAGGAGCCUGAGGUGGGGCCACUCCAGCAGUCCAGCCCCAGUCCACCCACUGACCCAAGCCUCCUUGAACAUGGCGGCCUAUCCGCACCCCUGCAUUGUUGGUUAGGUUGGUUCCUCAGCCUUGGUUUGGACAUCGCCAACACCUAAAGAUGUUUUCUGAACAAUUUAGUGUGUGCCGGGAGGCCUUGAGCUGGCAUCUGGUCCUGUCCUCUGUGCCGGUUCAGGUGGAGGCAGAGAGGUGCUCUGACCACGCCUUCCUACGAUGCCAGGCCCAGCUAUGUUGGCUGCCUGGGGGACAGCGACAGGGGUAUCAUGUCUGGGGGUGAGGUCUGUCCCUGAGUCAUAGGGAACAGGACACAAAAGCAAGCUGGACCUACGUACCGACGUCCCCGCCAAUGGGCAUGAUGAUGGGUGAAGCCAAAGCAAGAAAGAAACCCAGGAUCAUGGCUAGAGCCGUGUCCCCACGCACCAGGGGACGCCAAGCAGCUGUUCUGCAGCACCGCCUGGGGUGCUGGCUUCCCCGCCCCCCCAUCCUCAGAGACAGGGCACCCAGGAGACGUGGGUUCCCUGGGACCUGCGUGUGGUGCUGCCUACCCUGUGCUUGGUGGUGGGCUGGGCCGGGCAGGCUCGGGGAACUGGUGACCCAUGUCCAGAGCUGCAGUCCCCAGCUCUCCAGUGCCUCCGCCCUGUGCCACCUCCGUCCACACCUGGGAGACAGAAACCAUCUCUAGGGACGACUUGGACUGUUCUCUAUGGGGACCCGCUGGGUCCUGGCUUUGCCACUGGCCAUCUACCUGGUGCUCCCUGGGCACGGCCCGCAGCAGUGUUUCCCACCGUGGAGGGUUAGUGCUGCCCCUCAGGUCAUGCCGUAGAAUGUGUAAGUACAGCCACCCCCGGUGUCCACGGGGAUUGGCUCCAGGAUCCUCUGACAGGAAACUCUGCAGACACUGCAGUCACUGACCCGCGAUUGGGACUAUGUGCUGCUUUCCCGUGCUCCAGAUCCCAUCCGGGCUCCUUAGGCAUCUGCUACACCUACCUCCCGUGUAAGUGGUGGUUGUGCUGCGUUCCUUAGGGAAUAACGAUGAGAGAACAGUCUGUGCGUGUUUAGUGAAUUAACUAAAUCAAAAAAUACUCGGGAUCCCCAGCUGGUUGAACCUUCCGAGGCAGAACCCACAGGCAUGGGUGGCUGCCUGUCCAUAUAUUGUUGUUGACCCAUAUUUUUCUUUGAAUUUUUUCACUGUUCAGUAUCAAUAAACUUUAAGUGGGAUUCUGUGUCGUGAUCUCAAAUAGAAAAACAGUGACGAUUUCUGCUCGCUUAUGAUGAUAAGUGCAGCAAAGGCAAAGUCCCUCUGUGCCUUUUGGCUAAAUCCUCCUGCUGGCCAGAGCUGAGCCUGGCUUCUCCCUCUGUGUUCCUGAGCCGUCUGUCACAUUAGCCUUCCACUGUGAUUCUUCCUAGGAAAAGCAGUUAGAGAAUUAAGAGCAAUUAAUUGGAUUUAAUAUCAUUGAGCACUAUGUCUGGCCACAACCUAAACCAACACUCAUGCCGGGCACUAAGUGCUUUAGCCAGGCCCACUUGCCUCUCCUUACAGUCCUGCGCUGCUGUGUAAUGGCCAUCCCCAUUUCACAGGUUAGGACCCAGAGGCACCGAGAAGUCAACCUGGCCACGUUCACAUUGCUGGCGAGUAGGGGCAGCAUUGCACGCAGCUAUAUCUGGAUGCCUUAAUCUUGAUCUUGAUCUUGAACCCUACACUCUACAGGCUUUUUUGUUUGUGUGUUUAAUUAAAAAUUUUUGAUUGAUACAAUAUAUUGUAACUAUUUAUGGGCACAACGUGAUAUUUUGACACAUGGACAUUGUGUAAUGAGCAAAUCAGGGUAAGGACCCCCUCCCUCACCUUGCACAUCUAUCAUUUCUUUGUGAUUAGAAUCUCUAGUCUACCGACUUUGAGACACAGUAUUGACCCUCCUCACCCCACCACUUAAGAGGGGCAGAAGUCACCUGCUACCCAAGGGGCUCGUAGCCGCCCCUUCCCCCUCCGGCCCCUCUGUCCCCUACUUCUCUGAAACCGGCUUCUGUGGCUCUGGAGGAGAAGGUGCCAUGCUUGUCCCCGGUGCCUGGCUUGGGUCACUCAGCAAGUGAGUCGCGCUGUGGAGAGUGGCAGCUCCAGCCUCACGGUUGAGCAGUCUCUGUGGCAGAGCGCUGUCCUUGGUGGACACCUGCGUGGACUCUGAAUCGUGGCAGUUGAGCAGUGCUGCAGUGAACCUGGGCUUGCAGAGUUACCGGCUCAGUGUCCAUUGGGUGGCCACCUGGGAUGUGGUUCUGUUUUCAGUGCCACAGGCUCUUGAGAGGACUGCCCAUCUCACCCUGUGGCAAUGGCGGCCCCCUGAAAGGCGGUGGAGAGUGGGGUUGGGCCAUCUCGGCACAGUGAGUGUGGUGGGGGGAGCUGGGUGGCCUGUGGCUGUCGUGCCACAGUGCCGUGUCUCCUGUGGGCGUGGAGCUGUUGGCACUAGGGCCUAGUGAUAAAUGCACCCUGGUGGACCUGGUUCUCAGGGAGCUCAUGGUCACCAGUGGCCAAGCAGGACUUGUAGGUGGCACUGAAUAUGCCACAGGAGGAGGCUUCUAUUGUGAGAGGAACAGUGUGGGGUGGGAAUAGGGUGGGCUAGAGACCGUCUGUAGCCCCUCACAGGUGUGAGGGAGGUGGGUUUGUAGAAUGCACCUGGAAAGGAAGAGGGACCCCCGCCCAGGCCCAGAGCAGCUGGGGAAGUGUGCGAGGCCGCAGGGCCUGGGGAGGGGGGGGCCUGGCUGCCACUCAGCACCCAAGGGGAGGGCGGCUGCUUCCCUCCUGCUCUUGCGGCCCCAGGGAAGGCCUGCAGCCCACCUGCCUUCACCAGCUCUCCUCACAUCAGGGUUGCAGAAUGUGCUCAGGGACCAGGGUGACCUUGGCUCUGCAGAGAGAAGUGGAUACUCUGGUCCCUGCCAUUCCCUGAAGAACUAAAGAUAGCCUUGGUCUCCGUGGCUGGGACUCAGGGGCCAGCUUGCUGGCUGUGCUGCACGUGCUCAGACACCUCUCUCCAGAAUAAGCGCACCCUGCAGUCCAAAUGAAACCCGCUGGGGCAGUGACUCCUGGUGAGCUGCUAAGGUCCCUGAGUGGGACCGCCACUCUCCAUAUGAGGAGCUCCCGACCUUCAGAGCAGAGCUGGGGGCUUGUGGUGAGGCUCAGGGUGUGAACAUAUAGCCGUUGAGAUAUUUAAAAGAUGCAGACACUCUUGGGCAGCUUUGGGUACUGGGUCCCAUUUGGGCCUGGGAGGGGAGAGGAAAUGGUCCCUAUGUCAGCCUUCCACCAAGGGCAGCGCAGGCUCUAUCUAUGUGGCAAAUGAAGGUUUGGGAAUCUGUUCAGUGAGCACAGGCCGGUGGGAAAUCUGACCAUCAUGGUGAGCUAGGGAAUGUUGGCUGUGCUGCCCGAACUUGCUAGGGUCAGGGUGCUUUUUCUGCCCGCUGCCCCAAGUGAGGAGGUUAGGUCACUAGAGAUGCUUUAAGGUCAGUUUAAAAUUUUUUUUUUGUUUUAUUUUAACCAAUAUAUAAAAUAAAUUUACAGGGUGCCUUUUGAUGUUUCCAUACAUGUGUAUAUUGUACAAUGUUCAAAUCAGGGCAAAUCUGUCUCCUCAAAUGCUUAUCAUUAUUUCUUUGUGGUUAAAACGUUCAACAUUCUGUCAUCUGGCUUUAAGACAAGUAAGUGUCACAUCGUCAUCUCUGGAGCUUUGCACCACCUGACCCCAAACCUACUACAGAGACAUAGUAAUUAAAAAAGCAGGGCCUUGGCAUAAAAAUGACCCAUAGACCAGGGGGACAAUGGAGAGAGCCUAGAAUGAACCCAACAUGGGCAGCAGCCGAUCUUCAACAAAUGUGCCAAGAAGGUGCUUUGUAGAAGGGGCAGCCUCACCAAUAACUGGUGCUGGGAGAACUGGAAAUUCCUGCACAGAUGGAUGAAGCCAGACCCCUGUUUUUCACCACUUACAAAAGCAGACUCCAAAUGGAUUGAAGACCUGAAUGUCAGACCUGAAACUCUGGCCCUGCUAGAAGACAACAGGAGGAAAUCUCCAGCACACAGGAACGGGCAAGGUUUUUAGACUAAGAGCCCCAAAGUGGAGGGAACAAAAGUAAAGGUAGACAAAUUGGUUUACAUCAAAACCCAAUUCUUCUUUACUUUCAGAUUUUUAAGUUCCACGAUUUUCUUGGAAAUGAAGUAGAGAUUUGCUAAAGUUGUUUGCUCUAUGUACUAGGCCAGGUUCUCAGGUUGUAAGCAACAGAAACUCUCUGGGAAUCUACCGGGCAGAAUGUAGGGCACCCUCAUAGGAGCAAAAGUGCCCGAGUCUUGAGGAUGGGGAGUGGAGCCCACUGGGGAGUGGCAGCGGGAGCUGAGGCCAGUCUCUCAGGGCCCAAUGCCAAGGAGUCAGUGCCAUCCUGUUUAGCUGUGGACCACUCUGCCCGGCGAGGCUCCUGUGUGGAGAGGGUCUGGCGGGCCUGGCCUGGAUGCGAGGAGCACAGGGUCCCUGGAUGGACAGGCUGUUGACCGUGGGGGAGGGCAGAGCCAAAGCUCAAGGACAAGGUCUUAUUGCUUAAAAAAAAAGAUGAGCUAAAUUGACAUUUAAUUUUAAUUCUUAAUUGACCACAGGACUUGGAGGUGGCACUUGCAGAGGGGACAAGGUGGACCAGCA